rnacentral:rRNA from 1 species
ACAAGCGGUGGAGCAUGUGGUUUAAUUCGACGCAACGCGAAGAACCUUACCAGGGCUUGACAUCCCCUGACCGCGUAUGAAAGUACGAAUUCACCUUCGGGUGACAGGGAGACAGGUGGUGCAUGGUUGUCGUCGGCUCGUGUCGUGAGAUGUUGGGUUAAGUCCCGCAACGAGCGCAACCCCUACGUUUAGUUGCUAACGCGUGAAGGCGAGCACUCUAGACGAACUGCCGUUGACAAAACGGAGGAAGGUGGGGAUGACGUCAAAUCAUCAUGCCCCUUAUGUUCUGGGCUACACACGUGCUACAAUGGCCGGUACAGACGGACGCAAAGCCGCGAGGUGGAGCCAAUCCUCAAAGUUGGUCUCAGUUCAGAUUGCAGGCUGCAACCCGCCUGCAUGAAGAUGGAGUUGCUAGUAACCGCAGGUCAGCUAUACUGCGGUGAAUACGUUCCCGGGGCUU